UGGGGAAUCUUGCGCAAUGGGGGAAACCCUGACGCAGCAACGCCGCGUGGGUGAUGAAGGCCUUCGGGUCGUAAAGCCCUGUCAGGUGGGAAGAAACCCAUCGGUGCGAAUAGCACCGGUGAUUGACGGUACCACCGGAGGAAGCACCGGCUAACUCCGUGCCAGCAGCCGCGGUAAUACGGAGGGUGCAAGCGUUGUUCGGAAUUACUGGGCGUAAAGCGCGUGUAGGCGGUCGGGUAAGUCAGAUGUGAAAGCCCCCGGCUUAACUGGGGAACUGCAUUUGAAACUGCCUGGCUCGAGUUCGGGAGAGGAGAGUGGAAUUCCUGGUGUAGAGGUGAAAUUCGUAGAUAUCAGGAGGAACACCGGUGGCGAAGGCGGCUCUCUGGCCCGACACUGACGCUGAGACGCGAAAGCGUGGGGAGCAAACAGG
rnacentral:rRNA from 1 species